rnacentral:lncRNA from 1 species
CAUUUCAUCUCAUCUCAUAUCAUCAUUUCAUCUCAUCCUUUCAUUUCAUCUCAUCGUUUCAUCUCCUCAUUUCAUCUCAUCUCACCUCAGCAUUUCAUUUCAUCUCAUCCUUUCAUUUCAUCUCAUCGUUUCAUCUCCUCAUUUCAUCUCAUCUCACCUCAGCAUUUCAUUUCACCUCAUCAUUUCUUAUUUCAUCUCAUUUUAUCUCAUUUCAUCUCAUAUCUCAAUUCAAUUUCCUUUCAUUAUUUCAUCUCAUUCAUUUCAUCUCAUUUCAUUACAUCUCAUCAUUUCCUCUCAUCAUUACAUCUCAUCUCAUCUCAUCAUUUCAUCAUUUCAUCUCAUCAUUGCAUCUCAUCAUUUCAUCUCAUUUCAUCUCAUCAU